CUAGCCUGGCUUUUCUACCCUUGGAGAGGCACUCAAAGAAGGCUCACAGCAGGUGAGCAGAAGGCAGGAGAUAUGAAAGGAAGCCAGGCGGUGGGGUAAUCAGGAGGUCAUGUUGUGGAGCCAGAGGUCAGAGCACUUUGAGAACCGAUCUUGCUGUGAGUAAUUGGAAAGUGUGGGCUCUCUCAUAAACACAGUUCCAUCACUGCCUCUCAACUUGACCAUGAAGUCCAUACAGACCCCACUCCACCUGGGCUCCUACAGAGCUCAGCUUCGAUGUACUCCUCAAAUUGCUGCAACCACCUCCUCCCUGUCCUGCUGGUCUGCACAGGAAGCACAAAGCUCUGGUUACCACUGGAAGCCGUCUUGCCCCCAUAAACCAGCCUUAGGAUGCCACUGAUGCUGUAUGGCAGAAUGGAGUAACAGAGAGAAUUUGCAGAAUAAAGAAGGGACAAUGCAGUCACCAGGUCAGCAUUAAGGGAAGGCUUGGCUGCAUCAUCUGCCACUCUGCUGCUGCUGACUCUGCCAGUGGGGACAGCACAUGCUUCCUUCUACGCUUGCCUGAGGUUCGUAACUUCAGAGCCCCACAGCAUUUCUGGAAGGAGUAAAAUGAGCUACAUGGUCCGGGAAGCUACUCCUAAGUAGAGUUCACAAUCAAAGGAAUAGAAGCUGGGGAAAACAAUAAAGCAGUCUUCUUCUUCUC